rnacentral:lncRNA from 1 species
GUUCCCUUCUUAUCCUUUUUCUUUGCCAGUAGGAAACACUAUGUCAGAAAAGCAAUAGCAGAACAGGAUUGUGACAUCAUUUCUUUCCUGAUUUGUCUGAUCGGCUGGAUCGUAAUACAUGACCUAAUGAUUCCUCCUGAGCCACAAUAUCAAAAGGGGCAGAGAGCAGCCAAGGGACCAAUUACAAGUUUAAUUAAAGGACAAGCUGGGAGCCCCUUUUUGUCUUUGCCUUCAGUAUUGUGACAUUUUAGAAACAGGACAUCUCUGAGACAAAAGAGUUGACUAGAAAUGACACCAGAUCCAUCGAGUGCUAAAAUACACACCUUUAAAAAGUGCCACUCCAAGUCUGUGUUCUGAGAGAAAGUGUGUUGGUGUGUGAAAUUGCAGUUACUAUGACAACCAGAGGCUGCAGCCCACUGACACAGCGUUCAUAAGGAAAACAAGAAUUGAUGUUAAUGGGUGAAAAGCAGCCAUUGAUUUAAGAGUUAGCCUGAGCCUCGGAUGUGUUUAUUUGAGGCCCAGGCCCUUUUUUUUUUUUUCAGAUAAAAUAAUUCUCAGUCCCCUCUUACUUCAUUUGCCUUUUGGUCGCCAGCAUUUAAUCAUCUUUAACCAGACAAGGCAUGCUUGGUACCAGGGAGAAAAGACAUAUACAAGAACGACAGCUUGAGUGGAAAAUGGAUUUUAAAUGGAGAAUUUGUUUACAAACACAGAGUAGGAACCUUGGUUUUAUACAUAAAAAGAUGAUGGAAUAAAGGUUUCUGAUUUAGCAGUUUGGGGUCUUUUAAAACUUACGUUUUCUUUACUGACUUGACUCAUAGCCCCAUGGCCUAUGUUGAGUCUUGGAAGCUCUUCACGUGCAGGAAUAAUUCUGGACACUUCAGAAGAGGAUAAGUUAAUUGAACAAUGGUCUCACAUCUCAAGUUUCUCCAGAACAGAACUGUCCGUGCUUGAGUGAUUGACUCCGCUGUUUGUCUGUUUGUUUAAAUGAGAGGCCCCAAAGUCACAGUCACUAGACUGUCAAUAGACACUCUUAUUCUGCCUCUACUGUAUGUACCAAGUCCACCCACUUCCCUCUGUUUUUGUUCCCACUAUGUUAGUUCAAUCACAAGUCUUCUCUUGUCUGAAUGAUUUCAUAUUAUUGGUUCUCCACCUUCCUAACGCUGCUGCAAUGCUUUAAUACAGUUCCUUAUGUUUUGGUGACCCCCCCAACCAUAAAAUUAUUUUCAUUGCUACUUCAUAACUCUAAUUUUACUGCUUUUAUGAUUCAUUACAUAAGCAUCUGAUAUACAGGAUAUCUGAUAUGUGACCCCGGUGAAAGGGUCGUUCAACUCCCAGAGGGGUGGCGACCCACAGGUUGAGAACUGUUAACAACUCUUUCAUUCAUCACUCCUUUUUCCAUUCAUUUCCCUGCACCGCUGAUGGGUUGUCUUUUUUCCCCUCAAUGAAACAGUUUAUGCUGAGAUAAGUGUAUACUGACACACAGUUUGUAAGAAUACAUCCUGUGUAGUUCUAGCAUUGCCUCAGAUGAUGAUGUCAUCUAUAACUAUAACACAGUGCUUCAACUCUGAGAUGAAUCCAGAUCUAUCCAGAUGUGGCCGACUUCCAUUGCCUCAGGGCUCCCUCAGCUGCCCUCUCAUUCCAUCGUCUCUCCUACAUGAAUCUCUGCACCCCCGAGCCUCUCCUCUCUUCUCUGGGGCUGCUGUAUGGAUGGCACCAUGCCACAUGCCUGUCUAGGAUUCUAACAGUGACUCCAAAGAGUGACGGUGAUGGUGGUUGUGUUAGUCUGGGUUCUUCAGAGGACCAGAGAUUCGGUGAGAUUUAGAACAGCUGUAUCAAUCCUCUUAACACUCCCUCUGACACACGCUCUUCUUCCUACAGGUAGUAGUGGACAGAGAGUGGACGUUAGUGAUAUGUGACAGACGAGUGACUCCAUAGCAGCUUAACAUCACAGCUUCGUAGCCUCCCCUGUGAAUGAAGGAGAAAUGUGAUGAAGUGAGCCAAAGUCACAUGUAAUGGAGAGGCUGCACUUGCUGCCCUGGGUUCUGAAGCUGGGCUGAAUGCCCAGGAGAUUUUAAAGAACUGUUGUUGUUGUUGUUGUUGUUGAGAUCAGCUUCUAUUCCAUGUUAGCUGUGACAACUGCAGUCAAUCCCCACAAUUUGAAAGUAAUAUUUAUUCUUAAGUAAUAUUUCUGCUUUAUAAAUCCAGAUGGCACUUUAGCUGAGAGCUUAGCUUUCCUUUUUAGGAAUUGUGAUUAUGUAAUAAUCUUUGACAUCAGCAGACACUGAUAUUGAUCCAUCAAUUGACUGGCAUGUUUAAACUCCAAAUAUGGGAUAACUUGCAAAAUGGGAUUCUGGGAGUGGCUGAUUGAGUCUCUGCAACUGGGGCUGUGUGAGUCUAUUUCCUGUUACUAUAACAAACUACCUGAGAUAUCAUCAGGUCUAUGCGUAUCAGGAACUGCUGUGGGUUUGCAACAAUU